UACGUAGGGUGCGAGCGUUGUCCGGAAUUAUUGGGCGUAAAGAGCUUGUAGGCGGUGUGUCACGUCGAUCGUGAAAACUUGGGGCUUAACUCUGAGCUUGCGGUCGAUACGGGCAUCACUGGAGUUCGGCAGGGGAGACUGGAAUACUUGGUGUAGCAGUGAAAUGCGUAGAUAUCAAGUGGAACACCAGUGGCGAAGGCGAGUCCCUGGACAACUCCUGACACUGAGGCACGAAAGCUAGGGGAGCAAACAGG
rnacentral:rRNA from 1 species